AUCAUGCUAAAAUCUAAAAACUAUGGGUUUUCUCUUGCUUGUUCUUUACUAAAAUAAAUGUGUUCAGAUCUUUACAUGUCAUUAAGAUAACUAAUGUAAUUGUUUUUUUUCCCUUUCCCUUCACUUAAAGGAAAAACAGGCACAGAGCAAAGAAGCAAGAAGCAGUCUCUUUUUUUGGAAGGCACAGCAUGACUUCAGCACACUGAAGUUUCUCCAAAGCUUCGCUGUUAACAUUGUGGGAAUUCAGCACUUUCCUGCAGAUCAAAGUCCACGUGGCUUCUCCCGUGCAGGGAGUACAAGCAAAAUAGAUUUGCUUCUGUGGACACCCAAGGAGAACUGGGAAGACUUUUGAGAGAAUCUGGAGCAUUGGGAAAUCGUAAUUUGGGAGUAGGGGGAAUACAGCACAGCAGAAAUAUAGGCUGUUACUAUCAAUAUGCCUUAGUCCUACAUGGAUGAUAAUUGUGAAACAUAGGCAACAGAUUCUGAUGAAAUAGAUUAUAAUACGGUGUUCUGAGUAUGGUUUCAGAGAUAUAAAACAUAUAAUCAAUUGCUCAUCACAGAUCCUUAGAGACAUUGUACUUCUGUUUUGCACGAUUCUUUUACUGCUACACUUAUAUGCUUGUGUGUAUAUGCAUGUGUAUGUAUGUGCAUGAAUGUGCAGAUGCAUGUGGAAGUCAGAGGCCAAUGUUGGUCAACUGCUUUCCACUUUAUUAAGACGGCGUCUUCUACUGAACCGGGAAUUCACUGACUCAGCUAGGCUGUCUGGCUAGAGAGCGCCUUUCUCCACUUUGUAGCUCAGAUGAUUGGUGUGCAUCCCCAACCCCAGCAUUUUGCUUAGUGCUUAAGAUCAGAACUCAGGUCUUCCCGAUUAUAGGGCAAACCACUUUACUAACUGCCGUCUCUCUAGGACCCUGAUUAUUUUUUAAGUUAUGAAUCUUUUCUGUGAUUUUUUUUACAUGCUAAUUCUAAAGCUCUCGCAGGACUACAAAUAAAAAAGCAAGAAGAAGAUCA
rnacentral:lncRNA from 1 species